UACGUAGGGUGCGAGCGUUAAUCGGAAUUACUGGGCGUAAAGCGUGCGCAGGCGGUUAUGUAAGACAGUUGUGAAAUCCCCGGGCUCAACCUGGGAAUUGCAUCUGUGACUGCAUAGCUAGAGUACGGUAGAGGGGGAUGGAAUUCCGCGUGUAGCAGUGAAAUGCGUAGAUAUGCGGAGGAACACCGAUGGCGAAGGCAAUCCCCUGGGCCUGCACUGACGCUCAUGCACGAAAGCGUGGGGAGCGAAACAAGG
rnacentral:rRNA from 1 species